rnacentral:rRNA from 1 species
ACGAGUGGCGAACGGGUGAGUAACACGUGGGUGACCUGCCCUGCACUUCGGGAUAAGCCUGGGAAACUGGGUCUAAUACCGGAUAGGACCGCACCGUGAGGGUGUGGUGGAAAGUUUUUUCGGUGUGGGAUGGGCCCGCGGCCUAUCAGCUUGUUGGUGGGGUAAUGGCCUACCAAGGCGGCGACGGGUAGCCGGCCUGAGAGGGUGGACGGCCACAUUGGGACUGAGACACGGCCCAGACUCCUACGGGAGGCAGCAGUGGGGAAUAUUGCACAAUGGGCGGAAGCCUGAUGCAGCGACGCCGCGUGGGGGAUGACGGCCUUCGGGUUGUAAACUCCUUUCACCAUCGACGAAGGGUUUCUGACGGUAGAUGGAGAAGAAGCACCGGCUAACUACGUGCCAGCAGCCGCGGUAAUACGUAGGGUGCGAGCGUUGUCCGGAAUUACUGGGCGUAAAGAGCUCGUAGGUGGUUUGUCGCGUCGUCUGUGAAUUCCGGGGCUUAACUCCGGGCGUGCAGGCGAUACGGGCAUAACUUGAGUACUGUAGGGGAGACUGGAAUUCCUGGUGUAGCGGUGAAAUGCGCAGAUAUCAGGAGGAACACCGGUGGCGAAGGCGGGUCUCUGGGCAGUAACUGACGCUGAGGAGCGAAAGCAUGGGGAGCGAACAGGAUUAGAUACCCUGGUAGUCCAUGCCGUAAACGGUGGGCGCUAGGUGUGGGUUUCCUUCCACGGGAUCCGUGCCGUAGCUAACGCAUUAAGCGCCCCGCCUGGGGAGUACGGCCGCAAGGCUAAAACUCAAAGGAAUUGACGGGGGCCCGCACAAGCGGCGGAGCAUGUGGAUUAAUUCGAUGCAACGCGAAGAACCUUACCUGGGCUUGACAUAUACAGGAUCGCGCCAGAGAUGGUGUUUCCCUUGUGGCUUGUAUACAGGUGGUGCAUGGUUGUCGUCAGCUCGUGUCGUGAGAUGUUGGGUUAAGUCCCGCAACGAGCGCAACCCUUGUCUUAUGUUGCCAGCACGUUGUGGUGGGGACUCGUAAGAAACUGCCGGGGUUAACUCGGAGGAAGGUGGGGAUGACGUCAAAUCAUCAUGCCCCUUAUGUCCAGGGCUUCACACAUGCUACAAUGGUCGGUACAGUGGGUUGCCAGUCCGUGAGGGCGAGCUAAUCCCGCAAAGCCGGUCUCAGUUCGGAUCGGGGUCUGCAACUCGACCCCGUGAAGUCGGAGUCGCUAGUAAUCGCAGAUCAGCAACGCUGCGGUGAAUACGUUCCCGGGCCUUGUACACACCGCCCGUCACGUCAUGAAAGUCGGUAACACCCGAAGCCAGUGGCCUAA